rnacentral:snoRNA from 1 species
GCCUUUCAAAAAUAAGAGUAGCAGGUCCAUCCUACUGGGCCUCUCAUAGUGUCCCAUGCCCCAGCAAACCAUAGCCCCAAACCAUUGUCUGGUCUUUUAGCACUGAAGCAGUUUGCACAGUA